rnacentral:rRNA from 1 species
UGGUGGAGUGAUUUGUCUGGUUAAUUCCGUUAACGAACGAGACCUCGACCUGCUAACUAGUGCACUUGAGCAUUCGUGCUCAUGUCUUCAGCACUUCUUAGAGGGACUAUCGGUGUGUAGCCGAUGGAAGUUCGAGGCAAUAACA